rnacentral:rRNA from 1 species
AUUGAACGCUGGCGGCAUGCCUUACACAUGCAAGUCGAACGGUAACAGGUCUUCGGAUGCUGACGAGUGGCGAACGGGUGAGUAAUACAUCGGAACGUGCCCGAGAGUGGGGGAUAACGAGGCGAAAGCUUUGCUAAUACCGCAUACGAUCUCAGGAUGAAAGCAGGGGACCGCAAGGCCUUGCGCUCACGGAGCGGCCGAUGGCAGAUGAGGUAGUUGGUGGGAUAAAAGCUUACCAAGCCGACGAUCUGUAGCUGGUCUGAGAGGACGACCAGCCACACUGGGACUGAGACACGGCCCAGACUCCUACGGGAGGCAGCAGUGGGGAAUGUUGGACAAUGGGCGCCAGCCUGAUCCAGCCAUGCCGCGUGCAGGAUGACGGCCUUCGGGUUGUAAACUGCUUUUGUACGGAACGAAAAGACUCUGGUUAAUACCUGGGGUCCAUGACGGUACCGUAAGAAUAAGCACCGGCUAACUACGUGCCAGCCGCCGCGGUAA